AAGCAGCCUUCUUUCCUAUAAACUGAAGAAAACAAAGCUUCAGUUCAAGUUCAAAAUAAAUCCAAAUAAUUAGCAAAAAUCAAUGCUUAAUCUCUGAUGUGUGGAAGAACUUACAGAAAAUCAAAUAAUAGCGAAAAGGAUAGCUAGUUGUCAUAGGCAGUUAGGCUAAGUAGUUAAAGCCAGCUGUAGAUGGUUGAAGUUGUUAAAUACAUGUGAUGAUGAUGUAAUUUAUAACAGACUAGCUGAUAAUGAAGUUAGGAAAAAAUGAGAGAAGUUCAAAUAAUUGUGGGAAGGGUAGUUAAUUUUUAUAGGCAGUUAUGCUAAGUAGAUUAAGCCAGCUGUAGAUAGUUGUAAUAAUUGCAAGAAAAGCAAUGAUAAUGUAAUCCAUAACAGACUGGAUGGUCUACUUAAGCUAGCAGAUUGUAUUAUUCAGGUAGGGAAGAUCAAUAAUAGUUUUCUC
rnacentral:misc_RNA from 1 species